rnacentral:tRNA from 1 species
AUUUAAAUAGUUUAAUAUUAAAAUAUUGAUUUGUGAUAUCAAAGAUAUAAAAGAUUUUAUUUUAAAUA